GGAAUAUAGCCCAGUUGGUGGAGUGAUUGCCUCACAUGCAGAAGGCCCUGGAUUCAAUCCCCAGCACCA
rnacentral:tRNA from 1 species